rnacentral:rRNA from 1 species
UACGGGGGGGGCAAGCGUUGUUCGGAAUUACUGGGCGUAAAGGGCGCGUAGGCGGUUCGAUAAGUCAGCUGUGAAAACCAUGGGCUUAACUCAUGGCCUGCAGUUGAGACUGUCGGGCUGGAGUGUGGGAGAGGAGAGUGGAAUUCCUGGUGUAGCGGUGAAAUGCGUAGAUAUCAGGAGGAACACCGGUGGCGAAGGCGGCUCUCUGGGCCGUAACUGACGCUGAGGAGCGAAAGCGUGGGGAGCGAACAGG